rnacentral:rRNA from 1 species
CGGUAUUUUGACCGUGCAAAGGUAGCGCAAUCACUUGUCUUUUAAAUGAAGACCCGUAUGAAUGGCAUAACGAGGGCUUAACUGUCUCCUCUUUCAAGUCAAUGAAAUUGAUCUCCCCGUGCAGAAGCGGGGAUAAGAACAUAAGACGAGAAGACCCUAUGGAGCUUCAGACACUAAAGCAGCUCACGUUAAAUACACCGAAUUAAAGGACUAAACCACAGUGUCCCCUGCCCUAAUGUCUUUGGUUGGGGCGACCGCGGGGAAGUAAACAACCCCCACGUGGAGCAGGAAUACUCUUCCUACAGUCAAGGGCCACAGCUCUAACAACCAGAAUUUCUGACCAACAAGAUCCGGCAAUGCCGAUCAACGGACCCAGUUACCCUAGGGAUAACAGCGCAAUCCUCUUUUAGAGCCCAUAUCGACAAGGGGGUUUACGACCUCGAUGUUGGAUCAGGACAUCCUAAU